UACGGAAUGUGCAAACGUUAUUCGGAAUCACUGGGCUUAAAGAGUCCGUAGGCGGCUUGUUAGGUGAGGUGUGAAAUCCCUCGGCCCAACCGAGGAAUUGCGCUUCAAACCGGCAAGCUAGAGGAGGAUAGAGGUGGGCGGAACUGAUGGUGGAGCGGUGAAAUGCGUUGAUAUCAUCAGGAACACCGGAGGCGAAGGCGGUCCACUGGGUCCUAUCUGACGCUGAGGGACGGAAAGCUAGGGGAGCGAACGGG
rnacentral:rRNA from 1 species